rnacentral:lncRNA from 1 species
GAAAGAAAGAGAGCGGCAGCAGUUUUGUUGUUUAGAAGAGAACAGCAGCAAUUUUGAGGUUCAGGUAAGAAGAUCAGUAGCGAGGCAGAGAAGAGGAGCAGCAAAAGUGAUGUGGGGAAGAAGAACCAGCAGUAGGCAGGAGAAGAAGGAGCAGCUGGAGCGCACAAGCAGCAGCAAUUUUGAGCAGAGAAGGGUACCGACAGGGAGGCGCAAGGAGGUGGAGAGGAUGAACAAUAGCAGGGGGGUUGCAAGGAAGGAGCAGCAGCGGUGCUUGGAGAAGAGCAACAGGAGGUCGAGAGGAAGAAGGAAGAUGCAGCAGCAACAGCAGGUUCAGAGAGGAAGCGGCAGGAGGGGCGCGCGAGGUGGGCGCUGGUGGAGGCGUGUGGAUGAUGGAUGGUGGUGCUGGUGGUGGCGCGGUGGCGAAGUGGAGCUGGUGGCGCUGGUGGAGUGGUGGAUGGAUGGCGCGGCGCGGCUGGGAUGGAUGGAUGGUGCGGUGGAUGGUGCUCGUGGCUGAGUGGAGGAGCAGCAGGCGCACCGCCACGCCGGCCUGGCCGCGGCGGCGGCCGGUGGUGGAGAAGGAGGGGUGAGGGAGAGAGAUGAGAUGCCAGGCCUGAUGGGGAUUGGCUGUGCUAGGGAUUUUUGAUCCCCUCCUCUGUUCUGUCUUUUUUUACUUUGGCCCUCCUCCUUUCUUCUUUCUUCCCAAGAAGAUCCUCCUCUUCUUUUAGUUUGCUCCCCUACAUUACUUCUUUCCUUCACGCUCAAGCCUUGACGUAUUUCUUUCAUGUCCUUCUCUCUUCUCGUUAGCCACAUAGUAGAAGUCUUGACGAUUAUAGUGCCUUUGCGCACUUUUCUGCAAAAUAAACAAUUCACUAGUCAACAUUCUCUUUUAUGAUUAUCAUUCGAAUAUUCAACAAGUCAUAGCAAGAAUGGAUGGAUAUAUCUCAAUAAAAGGUGAAUUUGUGUGCCCAAAUAGUAUAUAAGAAAUGUGCUUAUCAAGUUCCCCCACACUUAAAUCUUUGCUUGUCCUCAAGCAAAGGAAAAAAAAUUGAUGGUGACACAACUCACACUGCCUAGUAAAUAUGCUCUUUCUGAUAGAUAGUAAUUCCGACAAUACUGGAACUAAGCAAAUGUACUCUACUGAAGCUAAAUUGUGAUAAGAAAUAUUUAUAACACACUGUAAAUGUUCCAAGUCAAUGGCCUUGAGUCAAAGUGAAUACUAAUAAUCAAGAGCUGGCUCUGUCUUCAGCCCUGAGAUAAGCUGGGACCCCAAAAUCAAUUAGAAAAACAAGUAACUUAUUGAAUUUAAAGAACAAGUGAUGAUAUUAUAUCAGUCUCACCAAAGGAACAUACCACCGAUCCCGAGAACAUGGUAUACACCUGGCUCGACCAAAUUAUUAGUAUAUUUUUUUGUUAUCUCCCCAAAGGAACAUACCACCGAUCCUGAGAACAUGGUAUACACCUGGUUCGACAAAUUAUUAGUAUAUAUUUUUUGUUAUUAUCUCCCCAAAGGAACAUACCACCAAUCCCGAGAACAUGGUAUACACCUGGUUCGACAAAUAAUAGCAUUUUUAUAUAAAAAAAUUUUACAGUCCAAUCUACCAGAUUUCACAAGCCACCGAUCCAGGGAACAUGACAUGCUACUAUAGGUCGAUCGGACUUAAAUUAUUAUAAUUAUUUUAUUUAGUUAUUUGAAAAUUACUUAGCUUAAGUAAAACAGGAAUAAUCGAAAGAGGAAUCCAUAGCUAAUGGCACUGUUUUUCACAUACUACAGAUCCAGAGAUCAUAGCUACUACUUAAGUGCCACCAGUUACUUAGCUUAACUUGGGACAGUCAGACACAGCACAUCAAUUCAUUAGUAGGUUUCACUUAGACUCAAGGCAUUCCCAUUGAACAUUUACAUGGAGGUAUAAAGUAUUCAUUAUCACAAAUUACCAUAAGAAGAAUACAACUGCAUAGUUUUAGUAUUAAGAGAAUCAACAAUCUUCUUGGAGUGAAUCCUACUUUGCAGUGAAGAGUAAGGUGUCACAAUGCAAAAAGAGUUUCAAUGCAAUAAAAUGCCAGUUCUUGUACUAAAUUUUCUAAAGGUUGCUUCAAGUGGAACAGAAUCACCUGGUAUUUGUAUACUCUUCUCUCCUACUUUCUUCUCUCCACUCUUCUCUGUUUGUGUUCCCUGUUUGUGCUCCCCUCAUCGCCAUGCUCUGACUCCACCAGGAUCCCAAGGAAUGUCACCUCGAACCUGGUCAGCAUGUAGUAAAUAGUGCAGUAGCAAAAGCCUGAAAUAGGACUCACAUAAACAACUACAAGUGAUAUGGUCGAUGCCCUCCAAGUCAUCAAUGGAAUAUCCAAUUAUAUAAGCAUAACUAUAAAGCACAUGUUUAGGAUGGCAGAAAUCAGCAUGGUCAAUACUCGCACGAGGAUGACAUUUAUCAUUAAGCUCAAGACUAGCAUGAGGAAAGUAAUUGUGAUCAUCACAAAUGAGAGCAAUGCCACUAACAGGGUAUAUAUCAUCAUAUCCAAGUAAAUGAGUUUUGAAAUCAAUCUUAAGUGAUGGAUCAUGUAAUGCAAGGUGGUAGCCAAGAAAUCACAAGGCAUCAUGUCAUCAAGAGGAUUGAGUAAACCUGACACAUCACGCUCUGGUAUGACAAUAGGCAAAUGAAUCUCAUGUUCUUCAUCUUCAUCUACAGCAGCUUCUUGUACUUCUUCAGGAGUAAUAGAUGAUGAGUCUUCAACUUGAUCACUUGGGAAUUGCAGCUCUUGACCAUCUUGUUCCUUGUCUUCUAGUUCAUCUUCUUCAAUCUGAGGUAUCUCUUGCUCAAGGCACUUGCUAACUUGCUCAACGAAAUGUGAAGGUGUUGGAACCUCACAUGUAUCCAUGGAUAUCUCAGCCACACUUAACUCAAGUUGUGAAGAAAUAGUGCUGCCAGUGUUGAUGUUCUUCUCAAUCUUCCUUACUUCUUCCACUAGCUCUUUUCCACUCUUGAUCUUCUUCAUUUCAUCUAGUAUAACCUUCCUAAUAGGAUCAUCCUCGGCACUCCAAGUGAACUUGAGACUCAAAAGUGUGAGCUUGUCUAUGUCAUUGAACUCAUCUUGUGUGGGCACUUGCACAUGAGAUUGCACAACAGGUGCUUGAGUUGUUGGUUGACCAAAUGGAGGACCAUUUAACUCCAUUGUACACAUCUCCUGGUGUUGUGGUAUAUGAGUAGGAGCUGAAUGGAAUUGUUGUGGUGCAUAGUUGUGGCUCUCCUCAUUGUACCUAAAUCCCUGCAUAUGAUUACUAGAACCAAACUGUGAGAUCUCAGGGUUGUUGCUCCUAUAUGACAUAUUCAGGCUUUCAGGCCACCCAUGUGAGUAAUUGUUUUGGUAUGAGCUAUGCUGUUGAGCAAAGCUCAUGCCAAAACAAUUCGGAGGAUGGGAGUAACCACGCUGACAUUCAGCGGGCGAAUGGCCCUGAAAUCCACAAAUAUGGCAAGUAGGAGCAACAUAAGGAUGGCCUCUGGAAUAAGGAUCGUAAGAACUAGGCCUAUCCUCAAAAACUCCUUCUCGCUGCCGAGCUAAAUCAUCUAAUCGAUGGGAAAUCUUACCUAUCAGUUCUUGAACACUUUCUGUGCUGUUUGUAGUGUUGCUCGCAUAAGCCUGAUGAUCUGAAUAGUAAGCCAUAACCGAGAGGAUAAUCCAACCUGCAAAAAGGAAAAGAAGACAAAAAGAUACUAACUAGAACAGGGGUUAGUGGCUAGAGAUAUAUCACAAAUAUAUAAAGCACAAAAAGGAAACAUGCUAAACCUAGUCUAAAGCCUAGCACAAUCGCUCGACACUAGUCCCCGGCAACGGCGCCAAAAAAUGAUCAAUUGUAAUAUAGCAGGGUUUUUAUGCCCAAACUACAGAUGUCGUGUUCUCCACAGGGACUAGGCGACGGCAACAACGAUCAGCUAAAUCUAGGUAACACAAUAUUGGGUGAUGAAAGCAGAAUAUUAAAUCUAGACUAACUAAGAUCAUUCGGGAAAAAUCAUCGACAAAAGAAAAUGAAAAGAAGCAAAGGAAGGUUCAGAUUAUACUCUCUGUCUUUAUAGUAGUUUCGUUAUGCUUGAGAAAUUAAAAUACUAACACAGGCAAGCAUAAAGGAUAAGGGACAGAAAGAUUAUGGUACAUGGUUCACAAGCAGACAUUUAAGAUGAUGUAGAGCAGCAUUGAGUUCUAUAGCAAUGGAACUCAUUUGUACAGGAGAUUCACAAAUAUGGAACACCACAGUUACUAGAAUUGACCGAAUUUAUAUAUAUAUAUAUAUGACUCAAAAUGCAUGACAAUACAAGUCUAAUCGAAAAUGAUCAGCUCAACAACUCACAACUUCACAUAUAUUGCAGAAACUAAUACAUAACAAAACACAAAUUGGGUGUUCAGAACAAUACACAAGUUUCACCUUUUCAGAACAGAACAGUACACUAACUGACUUACAGACACAUAGAGAGCUAAUACUGAUUUGAAUGUAAUUGGUCUAGCAUCCAGUAAUAACUAUCAGCAAAUACACACACACACACACAUAGAAAGAGUGAGAGAAAGAGAAAGAAAGAGAGUGGCAACAGUUUUGUUGUUUAGAAGAGAACAGCAGCAGUUUUGAGGUUCAGGUAAGAAGAUCAGUAGCGAGGCAGAGAAGAGGAGCAGCAAAAGUGAUGUGGGGAAGAAGAACUAGCAGUAGGCAGGAGAAGAAGGAGCAGCUGGAGCGCACAAGCAGCAGCAGUUUUGAGCAGAGAAGGGUACCGGCAGGGAGGCGCAAGGAGGUGGAGAGGAUGAACAACAGCAGGUGGGUUGCAAGGAAGGAGCAGCAGCAGUGCUUGGAGAAGAGCAACAGGAGGUCGAGAGGAAGAAGGAAGAUGCAGCAGCAACAACAGGUUCAGAGAGGAAGCGGCAGGAGGGGCGCGCGAGGUGGGCGCUGGUGGAG